rnacentral:rRNA from 1 species
AAGGGUGCAGGGCGGAUGCCUUGGCACUAGGAGCCGAUGAAGGACGUGAUAAGCUGCGAUAAGCUUCGGGGAGUUGCACGUAAACUUUGAUCCGAAGAUUUCCGAAUGAGGAAACUCACUUAGAGUAAUGUCUAAGUAUCAUUAAGUGAAUACAUAGCUUAAUGAGGGGAACUCAGGGAACUGAAACAUCUAAGUACCUGAAGGAAGAGAAAGAAAUUCGAUUCCGUAAGUAGCGGCGAGCGAACGCGGAUUAGCCCAAACCAAUAAAGUUUUCUUUAUUGGGGUUGCGGACAUAUCAUAACGAAGAGGUAUCGUAAUUGAAGAGGUUUGGAAAGACCCACCACAGAAGGUAAUAGUCCUGUAUGUUAAACGAGAAGACU